rnacentral:rRNA from 1 species
UACAGAGGGUGCGAGCGUUAAUCGGAAUUACUGGGCGUAAAGCGCGCGUAGGCGGCUUUGCAAGUCGGGUGUGAAAUCCCCAGGCUUAACCUGGGAACUGCAUUCGAGACUGCAUUGCUAGAGUAUGGGAGAGGGAAGUGGAAUUUCCGGUGUAGCGGUGAAAUGCGUAGAUAUCGGAAGGAACAUCAGUGGCGAAAGCGACUUCCUGGACCAAUACUGACGCUCAUGUGCGAAAGCGUGGGGAGCAAACAGGAUUGA